rnacentral:lncRNA from 1 species
AGAUUCUUUCUUUUUCUGUAGGAUUUUUUUAGGGUUCCCUCAACCCUUUGAGCACCGCCGCUCCCCUUUGCGCCAAGGCUCCGAUUGCGACGGAGAUGACCACGACUCGGCGGGUUCGGCGUAUGGGUAAGUUUUUCCUUCCUUUUCUUUAUAUUUUAAAUGAAAAAUAAAUAAGAAAAAAUAAAAAAUAAAAACACGAUUCACCUUCGAAAAUAAAUCUUUGAAAUCUCAGUAUUUCUCUUUAUUUUCGUUUGUUUUUACACUCCAAAAAAAAUUCCCCCUCAUUUACACAAUAUAAAUGGCCUUUUAUAGCCCGAAAUCGAAAAAAUAAUCAAAUCUAAAUGCUAUUUUUUUGCUGUUUCUUCUCUCCGGGACUCUUUGAGUCCGUGUUUUUGUAGGUGUUCGUGGAGAGAAACGCGUGCGUGGAGGAGAGAUCAGCCCGAGACGUGCGGCGCUUGGACGCUUGCUGAAGGUGUUGGGGGCUGUUGCUGGUGGCUUGCUGCUUAGGGCUAGGUUUUUUUGUGCUUUUUGUUUUUUUUUUUGCUGUAUUAGGCUUGUUUAAUGCUUUGGGCCCGUUUAUUGGUUUGGGCCCGGGCAUAUUUGGGCUUGUAUAGCCAUUACCAGUUAUGUGUUGAAAUUAUGGUUCAAGGCAAAAAUAUUUACAGCGUGUUUGGUUCGCUGUAAUAGGUAUACCCUUACUCCCGAUUAUGCGCCUAUUACAUUACCGACCUAUUCCGGCGUUUGGUUCCCUCGUCCUCAACGCUCCGAUUCUCCCACGCUUCCUUGCACUCUACUUCUUCUUCUGGUACGGUACGUUUCUUUUCUUCUCACAUUUCUUUUCUUUUCUCCAUUUUCUUUUCUCCAUAUUUCUGCUUCUUCUUCCAAAUUUUUCUCUGUUUUUCUUUUCUUUUCUUUUCUGUAGAAUCGAUUUUGAUUUUGAUUUUAUUUAUCUUUGUCGAAUUUCGAAACACUUUUAAUCGGGAAUAUCAUAUAAGUUGGAUGCUUUUCAUUUGUGUCUAGACACUCAUCGUCUUCUCUGAGAAUCGAUUUCAUUUGUCAGGUAAAAUUCCCAUAUUUUGCCUAUUAUUUUUUCCCCUUUAUUUUCAUUUUUGCCUGUUGAUUUCUCUGUUCUAUUUUUCUUUCUUUAUAAUUUUUUUCUAAUUCGAGUCUCUUUUUACUAGAUCUAUAUUUUUUCUGCUGUUAUUUAUAAUCUCUUUGCAUGCAAACUAUUGUUUGGGGGGUGAUUUUGGGUUCAAGUUAUUGGGUUUGAAAAUGUUGUUGUUUUCUUUUUUCUUGGUCAAUUUUAGAAGACCAUUUAUAUGUAUGCUGUUCAAAUUUUCUGUUUUGAUUUGAUUUUUUUUUUCUGUGAUAGAAUCUUUGAAAUAUUAUUUUCUUUUUCCUCAUUAUAUGUUACAUUAAGGAUAGUUGAUUAGAAGCGGGAUUUUUUGUUUGUUGUAGAAUAUAAAUUUGUAGGUCGAAGUUGUAAUUAGUAGGUUACAUUGUGAAUUUGUGUAGUUGAAAUGCUAAGUUGUAGGAGGUGUUGAGUAUUUGUAGUAGGUCGAAGUUGUAAUUAGUAGGUUACAUUGUAAUUAGUAGGUUACAUUGUGAAUUUGUGUAGUUGAAAUGCUAAGUUGCGAGGAGUUUAGCAACUUAAAAAGCUAAUUGUAAGCUAUUGUGAUUGGGGAGGUAGUAGUAGGGGCAUCAGGUAUGAUUUUAAUCCUUCUGUUUUUUUCCACUUGUUAACUUUUAUAUAAACCUCUUGAGUAUUAUCUUCUAAACUUUCUGGCUUAUAUUUUUUUGGUAUAUUUGCUUGACACCUCUGGAGUAAAGUACUUUUUCGAAAUCUCAAUGUUUGUUUCAUUUCUCCUUUUAAUUCCAACAUUGCAAUGUGUUUUUCUCGUCUUUGUUUGCCUAAUAAAGCAUGUACUUUUUUGUUAAAUGUUUUCUUGAUCUGUUGGCCAAGAGUUUGUGCUAAGAUUUGCAUUUCAACUUUAGGUAUUAUUCUUGUUUAUGCUGUGGAGACUCGUAUCUAUAUAUCAUCUAAACUAAUGAACCACUUUUGAUUAAUUUGCAAAUAAUGAAUGAACCAGCUUCUCAAGCUAGUAUUAAGCUGUGUCACUUUCAUCUGCGCAUAAUGUGAUGGUUUGAUAGUUGAAAUUAUGGAUGAUCUGAAUCUAGCUAUAGGUGAUUAAAUAUAUGAUCACCAAAGUAGUGGCAUCCAUCUAAAGUAGUUUUCUACCUUCCUGGGCUAAGUUCAGUUAAGUCUAUAUCAUCAUCCUCCCCUUGGCAUAUUGCAUUCAUUUUAGCUAUAGAGUUAUUUGCACAAUUGGUGAUUAUCGUUUGACAUUUCUCAAUCUUCUAUACUGGCCUAGUAGUCAUUCUUCUCUCCUAACCUUUCUCAUAUGUGAUCAAUUGUACUGUUUUAUUGCAAGCGCAGUCUCCUAACUACAAUGCUACCCUGAAACAAAUUUUCCCCAAUAUUCAGCAAAUCGAUUCUGAGGUAUUGGCUUAGAAAUUUUGGUAGGUUCUGGACUUUUGUAGUUGAAUGUUCAUAAAUUUGCAAUCACACGUGUAGUAUGCUAACGGUAACAUCUCCAGUCCCUUGUUGUCUGGAGCUUGUGAGUUUGCAAAUGUUGCUAGGGGAAAACAGGGUUCUGGAAGUGAUCCCUAAUACAUGACAACCAGCAGGAAGCAUGUGAGUGCUUGGUGGGAUGAUAUUAGCAGCAGACCGUCCUAGCAGAAGGUUCUCCAGCUCUAUGCUCCUCAUUUCUAAGAAUUGAAAAUGAUGCAAUCUGGGGAUGGGGUCUUUUUAAUGAUGUCUGCUUUGUUGUUUAGCAGUUUGGUUUGGUUUGGGGUCUGGUCUUUGACUGUUUUAAGAGGCCAACUAGUUAUCCUGUGUUAGUUAUACUUACAAUAAAAUGUUGGUAGGGGUAGGGGGUUACAAUUAUCGUUUUGUUUGCCUAUGUUUGAUAUUAUGAAUAAAGAUGAAGCAAUCAUGGAGAUAUCAAAGAGAACCAAGUGCACAAUUGAAUGUGCUUCAAAGGCAAA